UACGGAGGAUGCGAGCGUUAUCCGGAUUUAUUGGGUUUAAAGGGUGCGUAGGCGGUCCGUUAAGUCAGCGGUAAAAUACGGGGGCUCAACCUCCGCCCGCCGUUGAAACUGACGGUCUUGAGUGGGCGAGAAGUAAGCGGAAUGCGUGGUGUAGCGGUGAAAUGCAUAGAUAUCGUGCAGAACCCCGAUUGCGAAGGCAGCCUGCCGGCCCCACACUGACGCUGAGGCACGAAAGCGUGGGUAUCGAACAGG
rnacentral:rRNA from 1 species